AGCGAACGCUGGCGGCAGGCUUAACACAUGCAAGUCGAGCGGGCACUUUCGGGUGUCAGCGGCGGACGGGUGAGUAACGCGUGGGAACGUGCCCUCUGGUUCGGAAUAACUCAGGGAAACUUGAGCUAAUACCGGAUACGCCCUUUUGGGGAAAGGCUUGCUGCCGGAGGAUCGGCUCGCGUCUGAUUAGCUAGUUGGUGAGGUAACGGCUCACCAAGGCGACGAUCAGUAGCUGGUCUGAGAGGAUGAUCAGCCACACUGGGACUGAGACACGGCCCAGACUCCUACGGGAGGCAGCAGUGGGGAAUAUUGGACAAUGGGCGCAAGCCUGAUCCAGCCAGGCCGCGUGAGUGAUGAAGGCCUUAGGGUUGUAAAGCGCUUUUAUCCGGGACGAUAAUGACGGUACCGGAGGAAUAAGCCCCGGCUAACUUCGUG
rnacentral:rRNA from 1 species